rnacentral:rRNA from 1 species
UCAAGCUGAAAAGAGCGCAAGGGGAAUGCCUUGGCAUCAGGAGCCGACGAAGGACGUGACAAGCUGCGAUAAGCCACGGGGAGGAGCAAAUAUCCGAUAUAUCCGUGGAUUUCCGAAUGGGGGAACCCGCUCAAGCAAUACUUGAGCAUCGUGCGUUGAAUCAAAUAGGCGUACGAAGGGAACGGCCUGAACUGAAACAUCUAAGUAGGGCCAGGAAAAGACAUCAACCGAGAUUCCGCUAGUAGUGGCGAGCGAACGCGGAGGAGGCCAAACCGAGGGACGCAAGUUCUUCGGGGUUGCGGACAGACAUCAAGACCAGAGGUAAUUAAGAGAACGGCGUGGGAAAGCCGGCCAUAGAAGGUGAGAGCCCUGUAUCUGAAAAUGAAGACUGGCAGUCUGGAUCCAGAGUACCGCGGGACACGUGAAACCCCGUGGGAAACCGGGUGGACCACCAUCCAAGCCUAAAUACUACCUGAUGACCGAUAGAGGAGCAGUACCGUGAGGGAAAGGUGAAAAGGACCCCGGGAGGGGAGUGAAAGAGAACCUGAAACCUUGUGCUUACAAGCAGUCAAAGCACGUUAAAGUGUGAUGACGUACUUUUUGUAGAACGGUCCGGCGAGUUAUAGUAACGAGCAAGCUUAAGGUAUUCAGUACCGGAGGCGAAGCGAAAGCGAGUCUGAAAAGGGCGCAUGAAGUUCGUUGCCAUAGACCCGAAACCGGGUGACCUACCCAUGAGCAGGUUGAAGUGGGGGUGAAACCCCAUGGAGGACCGAACCGACCCCCGUUGCAAUGGUGGCGGAUGACUUGUGGGUAGCGGUGAAAUUCCAAUCGAACUCGGAGAUAGCUGGUUCUCCCCGAAAUAGCUUUAGGGCUAGCGUUAUGUUAGAUUACCGGAGGUAAAGCACUGAAUGGUGGCGGGGCCGAUAAGGUUACCAAGACCUAUCAAACUCUGAAUGCCGGAUAAUUGAUGCAUAGCAGUCAGACAGCGUGAGAUAAGUUUCGUUGUCAAAAGGGAAACAGCCCAGACCCACAGCUAAGGUCCCAAAUUCAUGCUAAGUGGAAAACGAUGUGGAAUUGCGAAAACAACCAGGAUGUUGGCUUAGAAGCAGCCACUCAUUAAAAGAGUGCGUAAUAGCUCACUGGUCGAGUGACUCUGCGCGGAAAAUAUAACGGGGCUAAGCAUGAAACCGAAGCUUGGGCUUGUACUUAGGUACAGGGGUAGGGGAGCGUCGAGUAUGGGGUGAAGUCAGAGCGGAAGCACUGGUGGACUGUACUGGAGUGAGAAUGCCGGAAUGAGUAGCGAGAAUUAUGUGGGAAUCAUAAUGGCCGAAAAUCUAAGGUUUCUUGGGGAAGGUUCGUCCGCCCAAGGUAAGUCGGGAGCUAAGCUCAGGCCGAGAGGCGUAGGCGAUGCACAUACGGUAGAAAUUCCGUAACCACCGAACUUUAAGCAUGAGGGACACUUUGAGAUAGCGGAACCCGGGCGUUGGUUGACCCGGGCGAAAGGGACCGAAAUAUAGUAGGGAAGUCCGCGAUGCUCGGAGGCGAGAAAAGCUCAUGUGUAUACUAAGGUGCCCGUACCGCAAACCGACACAGGUAGAUGAGGAGAGAAUCCUAAGGCCAACGGGAGAAGGGUUGUUAAGGAACUCGGCAAGUUGACCCCGUAACUUCGGAAGAAGGGGAGCCUCGAAAGAGGCCGCAGUGAAUAGGCCCAAGCAACUGUUUACCAAAAACACAGGUUUAUGCUAAAUCGAAAGAUGACGUAUAUGAGCUGACGCCUGCCCGGUGCCGGAAGGUUAAGAGGAGAUGUCAGGCGCAAUCCGAAGCAUUGAAUUGAAGCCCCGGUAAACGGCGGCCGUAACUAUAACGGUCCUAAGGUAGCGAAAUUCCUUGUCAGGUAAGUUCUGACCCGCACGAAUGG